AUUGAACGCUGGCGGCAGGCCUAACACAUGCAAGUCGAGCGAGCGGCGGACGGGUGAGUAAUGUAUGGGGAUCUGCCUGAUGGAGGGGGAUAACUACUGGAAACGGUAGCUACUACUGCAUACCAUCAGAUGAACCCAUAUGGGAUUAGCUUGUGGGUGAGGUAACGGCUUACCUAGGCGACGAUCCCUAGCUGGUCUGAGAGGAUGAUCAGCCACACUGGGACUGAGACACGGCCCAGACUCCUACGGGAGGCAGCAGUGGGGAAUAUUGGACAAUGGGCGAAAGCCUGAUACAGCCACGCCGCGUGUAUGAAGAAGGCCUUCGGGUUGUAAAGUACUUUCAGUAGGGAAGCGUUACCUAAAGAAGAAGCCCCGGCUAACUCCGUGCCAGCAGCAGCGGUAAUUC
rnacentral:rRNA from 1 species